ensembl:lncRNA
CAAUAAACACAGCUGUGCACAUAUGACUGUGAUGUGUUGACUUGGAGUCCUUCAGAGUAGUAUAGCUUGGUCAUGUAGUAGCUUUAUUUUCAGGUUUUGUUUUGUUUUGUUUCAUUUCCAUAGGGGUUGCCUAGUUUGCUCUCCUACUAGUGGAGUGAAUAAUGGUUCCUUUCUCCCAUAUCCUCACUGGCAUUUGCCACUUGGUUUCCUGAUGAUAGCCAUUCUGCCUGAGCAACUCCCAAAUUGCCCACAAGAAAGCGACUUGCCGUGUAAAAGGAAAUCACUACAUGGAAUGGCAAAUUGGAAGAGGGUGUUUCAAGGUUCAGAGUCAUUCCAGAACCUGGCUGUAUGGAGAUAUCUCUGUUCUUCUGCAUCAUUGGUGGUUUCUCUGUGGCUGGAAAUGAGCUCUGGUCUUCCUGAGGCUGAGUGAUCUGACAGAAGCAAGCUCCCAGCAACAGAAAUGAAGCGAGGACAGGUUUCAAGCCCGUGUUUAUUGCGCAUUGCCAUUACCCAAGAGGAGUGACAAAGAAGUGUAGGGAGACACCGUAACCACGACUCUUAAGGGUGUGUACUGACUUCAAUCAAGUUGAGGAUUUCAACCUAAAUCUUCAAUCAAGGAAAUCCCAUCUAACAUGGACUGGAUAUAACCGGUUAGAGACUUUCACUAUACUAACAUUUUUCCCCACAGGACCCCACAAGGCUACCAUCGUCCCAUUUCAGCAGGAAGUAACUUGGAGGAUGCUACGCCCCCGUUCCCCAUUAUUGUCUAUUAGGGUAGUGUAAGCCUGGUUAGGAAUGACCUUCCUAUUGUUUAGGGUUGGGAUUGGAAGGAGGUGUUCAGGUUUGGACACCUCUUUCAGAUGAUUUUAGGGUUUAGCUGAAAUAGACAUAGUUAGGAUGUGACAUAAGCAGAUUAUUGUAUCUUCUUGUAUUUCACCUUUAUGAUUGUUAAUUUUGGAUAUUUUACACUAUUAAGUUUUAAUCCUCUUUUAGACUAAAGGGGGAAUUGUAGGAAGAUACCGUAACCACACCUCCUAAGGGCUGGCUACAGGUGUGGUCAAGGUGAGGUCAGAGUGACGCGGCAUGGGCUCUUAAGGGACCACGAGCACAUGGGACACCGCUUCCCCUUCGGCUGGCCCUUCUCUCUGACCUCCCUGCCUUGCUGCCCCUGGGCAUGCUCUGGCUUGCGUUUGGCUGGUAUUUAUCUGAAUAAAGGUAUCUUGAAUCUACAAGUGUUUCCCUUCAAAGAAGAGCUUGAGUAUGUGUGUUCAGAAGUGACUACCAUGAGGGUGGAGAGCAACCACCUAUCCAGCAAAACCAAAGCCUUGGCCUAGACAGGAAUACAGAAGAGGGACCACAGCAACCUUCAUGGAGGGUGAGUGGUUAAACUAAUCCCAGGAUCGCUUGAAAUGUUUUCCUUCCUUGGUGGCUGGCAGCUAGGUGCUCCCUAUGGGACGCAGUUCACACAUUGACAUCACCCUCCCAAAGCACUGAGCCAAUUCCAUCUGAUCACAGCCUUCAACAGUGAGGAAAUUCAUCCGCCUCCCACACCACUGCCAACUGUAGGUUCAUCUUUAUC